rnacentral:rRNA from 1 species
UACGUAGGGAGCAAGCGUUAUCCGGAUUUACUGGGUGUAAAGGGCGAGUAGGCGGGCUGGCAAGUUGGGAGUGAAAUCCCGGGGCUUAACCCCGGAACUGCUUUCAAAACUGCUGGUCUUGAGUGAUGGAGAGGCAGGCGGAAUUCCGUGUGUAGCGGUGAAAUGCGUAGAUAUCAGGAGGAACACCGGCGGCGAAGGCGGCUUACUGGACAGUGACUGACGUUGAGGCUCGAAAGCGUGGGGAGCGAACAGG